UAUGAAUUGUAUCAGUCAAACCACGAUUUGUACCAGUUGUCUGAUUCAAUUUCAGAUCGUCCAUUCAUUUUAUUCUGCAACUAUUGAUUGAUUCCGGGGAGUAACACAAUUCAAUUCUGAUAAGUGUGUAUUUUGCAUGUUUUGAGCAUCCAUUUGUCAUCACUUUAGCAUCAUAUCAUCACUGUUUUAUACCAUUUCUCAUCAUUUGUCAUCACUUUACAUGUUUACGAUAGGUUUGCAUGCAUGUUGCAUAUUUGUGUUGAUUUCAGGUGAUUUGGAGCUGUUGACGAGCUAACUGGAAGAAGCGGACCUGAUCAUGACAAACCACUCGACCCAAAGGUCGAGUAGGAGCUUCAAGAUCUCAAGAGAUCACUCGACCCCCAGGUCGAGUAGAUGGCAUCACCACUUCACCUCACCACUCGACCACGAGGUCGAGCGUCUUCAUCUCCAUCACCUGACCAUCACUCGAUCACAUCAGUCGACCCUGAGGUCGAGUGUCUUCACCACCAUUACCUGAUCAUCACUCAACCAUAUCACUCUACCUGGAAGUCGAGUAUCACCUUCACCACCACUCGACUGCACCCUCGAUAGCAAGCUUCAGAGUCUUCUUCAUUCCGCACUCAACCAGACACUCGAGCACAAGGAAGAAAAGAAGACUCCAGCUAUUCACUCGACCUCCCACUCGACCACCUGGGUCGAGUACAGUUCUUAAUCCGUCCCAAUACUUCGUCGUUUUAAGUAUUAGGGUUUCGGAAUAUUUGGCUAUAAGUAGCAUGUACUUCACAUUUUCGCAAACAAGUUUUUAUCUAGUUUUAUUUCGCAGACCUUGUGUUCUAAACCUUUUGUAAUCUGGAUUUCUCUAUAUCUAUUCAGUAUUCAGUAUUCAGUUUCUGUUCUUGAUUUCGUUUACUGUUGUUCAUUCUGUUAUCAUCAUGCUGUUACACUGCUGUUAUCACGUUUUCAACUUGUUCAACGCUUAUGCUUUCUGUUAUGAUGUCUGAGUAGUGAAUAGGUUUCUGAGGAUGGGUUAGAGUAGUGUAGGAUUCUUAGUAUGCUAGGUGAUUGAGUAUUGAUUGAUAGAUCCCUUCUGGAUUAGUUGUUCUUAAUGCAUAUUGCUUUCUGAUCAACUGGAAUUUGAGCCCAGACAUUUCCGCGCCCAAAAGGUGUUCGAUGAAAUGUCUGAACCACUAAUUCCAGAGAUUCGUGACCCUGUACCAAGGUAUUGGCUGCAGGAAGCGUUUUGGCUUUAACUUGUUGAUUCGUAAUGCCUGUUAGGUUAGCUCUAGUCAAUGGUGAUUGACUCUGGGACUAGGUUAACUUGAGAGUGUCUGUUGCGGUGGCACUUAGAUUUGGUUAAUGAACUUGUUGUCUAGGGUUAAUUUAUUGAGCAUGUCAAUCACCUGUAAACUGAGGAAACGAAACUACUCAAUUACCCCAUCCUCGGGAAUUUUUUAUCUGAUUGAACUCUUUGUUUACUCUACUGUUGUUUACUGCAUCUUGUUAUCUAUCGCUUAAUUUCUGCAGUUCUUUCUUGUUACUCGACCUCAUACUCGACCACCAAGUUGUCUGGCAACAGACUGUGCAGUCGAGUAUCUGUGUUUUAUUUUCUGUCUGUUUACUCGACCUGUCACUCGACCUCACCUAGUGCUCUGCAAAGAGCUGUGUUGGUCGAGUGUUUUACUGUUUCUACUUGAAUUUCUGUUUUCUGCAUGUUCACUUAGGAUUGCUAGAACAUACCACAACCUGUUAUUGCUUGGCUUGACUUAGUGACAUUCUGAUCACAUCUUGAUUGUUAGCAUCACACCCAUUUGUAUUGACAACCUAAAAUAUUACAACGACAUGAUUGGUGUUUUAGGAUAAUUGACUAAAAACCUAUUAUCAAUUUGGAAAGGGAACCAAACCCAGAUUUGACAGAGAGGAGCUUAAGGACUUGUGGGCCACUAUUGGAAACAAUCUACCGCUAAACUCGACGCUGUCCAAGAGCAACCAAAUCCGGAGUCCUGUGAUCCGCUUCUUUCAGAGAUCGGUUGCCAACGUCUUUUACUCCAGGGAGUCUACAGGCACCGUGUCUAACACGGACAUGGAGAUGAUAGAUUAUGCGCUUACAGGGAUUCUCCGCCGGACGAAGGGAAAGAAUGUCUUGAGAGGCGAUCUCAACAACACACCACCAGUAAUGCCUCUGAUGAUCCAUCUGUGUGGAUAUAGGAAGUGGGCGUUGACGAACGGAAAGAAGAAGGUGAGAGGAGCACUAUGCGUGGGUGGCGUUGUGACGCCAAUUCUGCAAGCUUGUGGAGUACCGCUCAAGGAACCAGGGUUAGCACUGAGGAUGAUGGACUUGGAUCAUUUGCGCCGAUGUGAGUUCUUGGAGUUUGACAUGGCUGGCGACUUUCACCGCUACAGGUUUGAGCAUUCAUCGAUUAGAAUCGCCAACAUUCUCCUCCCCUGCAUUGACGCUAUUAGGAUUCUCGAGGGCAGGAACAUUGACUUCAAGCCUGCGCUUGAAGAUCUUUAUUUCGAGGGCAGUCCGCCAACUGAGGAGAUCAGUCACACCGAAGGAGCUACAAUAGAAGAUGUUGAUGAGACAGAUGAUAUAGAUGAGGUGGAGUUUGACACGAGCAUGUAUCAUUUCAGUGAGCACAUACCUCCAGCGAGGGAAAGCAAGAGUUUGAGCAAAGCUCACAGGAACAACAGCAAGCUGCAGAAGUGGUGCAAGAAACAUGAUAAGUUACUCGCUAAGUGCCUCAGGGCUAUCAAGUUUCUGAAGGACAAGAUCAGCUGCUCCUCUUCCACUACAGCUAUUCCGCAGGGACAGCUCCCUCAGGAGAUUCCUUCGAGGAGAUAUGACGCGCCCGAGCCAAGUCAGCGCAGGCCUGAGCCUAGAGAGCAGGAGAUUCCGCAUGUCCCUGCGAAGCAUUCAUCAUUCGAGCCUCGUGAAUUUGGGAGGAAGAGGAGGACAACACUCACUCGAUCUAGCAGCAGGAGCAGACGACUUCUGCAGUCUCGUAGUUUACGCGACCGCGGUGCUGGCCGCAGCAGAAGGAGAGAGGUCGAGUAUCCUCAGAGCGGUGCUGGCCGCCAGAGAGCUGAUGAGGUCGAGUACCCACCUGCUGGAGCUGAUACAGAACAAGGCGGCUCGUCUAUAGCCUAGGAGCAAUCACAGGCGGCCAUUGACGAGCAACUACGUUCAUUCUUCGACUGAGGUAAGCGCCUCACUUCACCAUUGUAUUAUAUCAUCCGUUGUGAUUUGUUUCUUCAUUUUGUUUCUGUGAUUGGAUUUGUCCUGAGUACUCUCUUCCAAGUUUAUUCGCACAGUGGACUGUGUGAUUUAAGUUUGGGAGAGGGCUCAGGAAGUGUGUGUUGCAUUGUGUAUAUUUUUGAGUCUGCAUUCAUCUAAGGCAUAGAAAAACCAAAAAAAUUUGAAAAAUUUCAGAAAAUGAUUUCAAAAAAAGA
rnacentral:sRNA from 1 species